rnacentral:rRNA from 1 species
ACCGCCUGGGGAGUACGGCCGCAAGGUUAAAACUCAAAUGAAUUGACGGGGGCCCGCACAAGCGGUGGAGCAUGUGGUUUAAUUCGAUGCAACGCGAAGAACCUUACCUGGUCUUGACAUCCACAGAACUUUCCAGAGAUGGAUUGGUGCCUUCGGGAACUGUGAGACAGGUGCUGCAUGGCUGUCGUCAGCUCGUGUUGUGAAAUGUUGGGUUAAGUCCCGCAACGAGCGCAACCCUUAUCCUUUGUUGCCAGCGGUUAGGCCGGGAACUCAAAGGAGACUGCCAGUGAUAAACUGGAGGAAGGUGGGGAUGACGUCAAGUCAUCAUGGCCCUUACGACCAGGGCUACACACGUGCUACAAUGGCGCAUACAAAGAGAAGCGACCUCGCGAGAGCAAGCGGACCUCAUAAAGUGCGUCGUAGUCCGGAUUGGAGUCUGCAACUCGACUCCAUGAAGUCGGAAUCGCUAGUAAUCGUAGAUCAGAAUGCUACGGUGAAUACGUUCCCGGGCCUUGUACACACCGCCCGUCACACCAUGGGAGUGGGUUGCAAAAGAAGUAGGUAGCUUAACCUUCGGGAGGGCGC